rnacentral:rRNA from 1 species
AAUAGAUACCCGGGUAGUCUACGCCGUAAACGAUGGAUGCUAGCUGUUAUCGGUAUCGACCCCGGAUAGUAGCGAAGCUAACGCGUUAAGCAUCCCGCCUGUGGAGUACGGUCGCAAGACUAAAACAUAAAGGAAUUGACGGGGACCCGCACAAGCGGUGGAGCGUGUUGUUUAAUUCGAUGGUAAGCGAAGAACCUUACCCAGGUUUGACAUCCUUGGAAUUUUGCCGAAAGGCAAGAGUGCUUUACUGAGCCAAGUGACAGGUGAUGCAUGGCCGUCGUCAGCUCGUGUCGUGAGAUGUUUGGUUAAGUCCAUUAACGAGCGCAACCCUUGUAGUUAGUUGAAUUUUUCUAGCUAGACUGCCCCGGUAACGGGGAGGAAGGAGGGGAUGAUGUCAGGUCAGUAUUUCCCUUACAUCUGGGGCUACAAACACGCUACAAUGGCCGGUACAAAGGGCAGCCAACCCGCGAGGGGGAGCAAAUCCCAUCAAAGCCGGUCUCAGUUCGGAUAGCAGGCUGAAACUCGCCUGCUUGAAGCUGGAAUCGCUAGGUAAC